UCCUACGGGGGGCAGCAGUGAGGAAUAUUGGUCAAUGGCCGGAAGGCUGAACCAGCCAAGUCGCGUGAGGGAAUAAGGCCCUAUGGGUCGUAAACCUCUUUUGUCAGGGAGCAAAGGCGUCCACGUGUGGACAAGAGGAGAGUACCUGAAGAAAAAGCAUCGGCUAACUCCGUGCCAGCAGCCGCGGUAAUACGGAGGAUGCGAGCGUUAUCCGGAUUUACUGGGUGUAAAGGGAGCGUAGACGGCAGCGCAAGUCUGGAGUGAAAUGCCGGGGCCCAACCCCGGAACUGCUCUGGAAACUGGGA
rnacentral:rRNA from 1 species